CAGCCGCGGUAAUACGGAGGGUGCGAGCGUUAAUCGGAAUUACUGGGCGUAAAGAGUGCGUAGGUGGUUAAUUAAGUUAUCUGUGAAAUCCCUGGGCUCAACCUGGGCAGGUCAGAUAAUACUGUUUAACUCGAGUAUGGGAGAGGGUAGUGGAAUUUCCGGUGUAGCGGUGAAAUGCGUAGAGAUCGGAAGGAACACCAGUGGCGAAGGCGGCUACCUGGCCUAAUACUGACACUGAGGCACGAAAGCGUGGGGAGCAAACAGGAUUAGAUACCCUGGUAGUCCACGCUGUAAACGAUGUCAACUAGCUGUUGGACUG
rnacentral:rRNA from 1 species